rnacentral:rRNA from 1 species
UACGUAGGGUGCGAGCGUUGUCCGGAAUUAUUGGGCGUAAAGGGCUCGUAGGCGGUUUGUCGCGUCGGGAGUGAAAUCCACUGGCUUAACUGGUGGCUUGCUUUCGAUACGGGCAGACUGGAGGUAUGCAGGGGAGAACGGAAUUCCUGGUGUAGCGGUGAAAUGCGCAGAUAUCAGGAGGAACACCGGUGGCGAAGGCGAGUCUCUGGACGACACCUGACACUGAGGCACGAAAGCUAGGGGAGCAAACAGG